UUGCAAUGUAGAUGUAAUUAUCAGAAUACUAUUCUUCGCGAUCUUCUUACAAUAUGCAUAGAAAUUGAACACGGAAAUCAAUCAAUAACGUAAAAAGAUAGAUAAAGUCAAGCUAGAUCCUACUUAAAGCUCAAGAAUAAAAUUCCCAUUUGCCACUUUGCUUUUGGUUCUUGUUUAUUAAUAGACAAUCAGUUCUGCUUACAUCAAACACCUAUCUGACAAGGGGAAACUUUGAAUCCCACACCGGCAAGACAGAAUUUUGCAUAAGCAAUAACAUCUUCCAUGAAACAGAACUUCAUGAGAAAUCAUUUUCAGCAGCUUCAGAUUCAUCACUAAAUACAAGUUAUGAUUUUGCAAGUAGUUUUGGUUAAUAAGGCUUCCCAUGCAGUUGAUAGUUCCUCUCUGUAUUAGUCAAUGGAGGCAAGAACUUCAGCAAUUAAUUCUUUCCUGACCACGUUCAAAAUGUCCAAUACCUCAGUUUCAGCCUUUCUGAGAUUUUCACAUCGUCUGAUAAAAGCCAUUUUAUACAGCCAUUCUUUCCUCCUUUGUCUGGAUACAAGUUUAGCAGCUGGAUUUAAAUAAUGCAUCGCUUCUUCCAAUCUGCAACAAGCAGCAAAAGAAUAUAUUCAGUCAAUAAACCGCAUCUAAUUCUCGAUUGUAAAUUUGAAAACUUAGAUAAUUUUGUGGAACGUGUUUCUAGUCUGUCUAGUGAAUUCAAUAGAAGAUAAAUGCUUCAUUAAGUUCAAAGAGUUAAAGCUUACUAACAGAAUAGCUUCUGCAAAGAUCAUUCUUAUAUAAUUCAUUAGUGACCAAUAUCAUGCGUGCAGUACGGGAAGAGUUCUUGAAACUGUUACUCAGAUAUAAAAAAUAAAAAUAAAAACAAUAAUAAGGAAAAAGGAAAAAGAGCUGAUGGAAGAGUAAAGGACCUCAAAAUGUUCAGCUCUAACUUUUCUUCUACAAUGCGCUUAAAGUCCAUAAAUACUUGCAAAAUUCGAUGAUAGGUGUAAAUGCUGAAUAAGCUGAAGUUACUUUCACCUCCUUGAUUUCUUUUUGUUGCAACCAGGAUGCCUUCAUGUUAUGUGCAGAAGCUACAGAAACUGUCCAAUCAUCAAAACUUUCUACAUCUUCAACUGCUACACCUAGACAAGAUCUUAAAUCACUCAAUAGUGCCUUACUCACAGGUAACUGCUCCAAAGUUAUCUCAGCUUCGUUAAGUGAAGGUGCUUCCUAUUUCAAUAAACAACUCUCGAGUGAUCUUUAGCUUAUCCAACUUUUCAUGUUUCCUUUGAAUGGUGUGGCAGUGUGCUUUCUUCUCCUUAAUUUCAGAACUUGUGCUUUGAAUCAAAUCCUCCUCAACUUUAACACAAUUCAAUAGCGAACCUUGAUUUUGAACCAAAAUCCCUUCUCCACUUACCUCUUUACUUAUAAGUAACUUGUCAGGAGAGAUGAAAGCUUCUAAGAUUUUGAAAUGAUCCCGAGCUGCUACUUCUCUAUGAGCAGCACUGGCUUCUUUUAAAGCCUCAACAACAGCAAGUAGGAAAACUUCUUCCCUAAUGAGACUCUCUAAGUUACGAGCAUCAAAUUCCUUCCACUCUUUAUACAUUUCCCUGAGGAAAACUAUGGGGACAUUCUCCUUAAGUGAAUGUUCUAAACACUGAAAGGACUCAUUUCAAUGAAAGCCAUACGUAUAAUUCUCUGAAUCUUUCACCUCAUUGCAUAUGCAUACUAAGUGAUUACCAGAAAUUGCCAUAUCUCUUAGGGUUUCUUCAAAGGCAAUCUGACAUAUCUCUUCCCUAACAAGGUUUUCAGCAUCCAAUCUUUCCAUAACCUCAUUUAACUCCUUGCACAGUUCCUCAAAGUGUGAUCUAGUUAUUUCUCUCUUAAUUUUCCCUCUAAAUUCUUCUCUGUGUAUGCCUAUUAUGUGAUCAUUAGUGUUCGCUAUUUCUCUUAGGGUCUCUUCAAGGGCAAUCUGAUCUAUUUCUUCCCUAACAAGGUUUCCAGUUUCAGAUUUUUCUACUAAUUCAUUCCAUUCCUUGUACACUUCCCUAAAAAGGACCGUGGAUAUUUCCUCCCUUAGUUUUCCCUCUAAAUUAUAGUCUUCCAAACAAGAUCUUUUAGCCCUGGCGUCCUGACAUUCUAUUAAUGCAGAGUCAAGAGCCCAACCAAAAUCCUUCACAGCCUCACCAAACACAAUAUAAUGCAUCUCUUCUGCAAUCUGAAUAUCUAUCUGGGCAUUUUCUCUUUGUUCAUUCCACUCAUUGACCAUUUUCUUCAACAAAUCUUCUUGAAUACCUGUUAACAGGAUCUCCAAGUCAAACCUAUAUAUAGCUCAGUGGUGAAUUCAUAUGUGAAACCUUCUAAAAGAGAAGCAUAAGUCUUUUCCAUAAUCAUAGUUUGCAAAUUACAUCUUCUUCUUCAUCCUUCAGCACCCUUUAGUUCAUUAUGUAGUUAUUCAUUUACUGCAUCAGAAAUUGAGACUUUAUUCACUUUCCUAUGGCCAACUUCCAAAUUGUCAAUGAGAUUCCUUCUGUUGUGUCAUUUGGAAGUUACAUAACCUUUUCGGUCAAAGGGCGUUCCUCAUAGCCAUCAGUUUCAUAGUUGCCAAAAUUUUCAAAAAGUUUUGCACUCCAAGUAAUUAGAUUUUUACAUUCUUACAAUAACAUCUUGGAUCCUUCUUCUACGGCUAACAAGAUCCUCUUCUUUCCUAGGGUGUGAACACCCUUUUUCGCCAAGAUUUUCCAUUUCAGCUCUUUGUUUUUUCUCUUGAUAAUGGACUCGUGAUUUUUUAUCAGUUUGACAACAUAGUUGCCAACAUCUUCUGAAUCCUCUUCAUGAAGCGGCUUCUGUUGGCCAACUUUCUCAAUCCUUAUGGUGAAAUUUUUGGUUUGCCAUGAUUGUCUUCUUCUGAUGAAGAUCUUUCUCCUGGCUUUUGAGAAAUCUUGACCUCCUGAUUACUUUGGGAUGAGCAAAGAGCUUCUAGUUCAUCAUUCAAGCACUUAAUAUCUUUCAUCAAAUCUGACAAAUGCCUGCUCAGUCCAAGAGAAACUUGCUUUUCCCAGUCCCUGACUUCUGCUUUGAAAUUCUCCUGGAUGUCCCUCACAAAGCCUUUAAUCAGAAUACCUAAUGCAUCUUUCUCAAUUGUCAAUCUCCAUUGCUGCUCUACUGGCUCCAUCUCAGACAAGAAAAUAGUACUCUGCAUUUUUCUAAAAUCAAUGUCAGAGCCCAUCUGCUCAAUCUCUAAGUUGUCA
rnacentral:misc_RNA from 1 species